rnacentral:rRNA from 1 species
UAGGGAAUCUUGGACAAUGGGCGAAAGCCUGAUCCAGCCAUGCCGCGUGAGUGAUGAAGGCCUUAGGGUUGUAAAGCUCUUUCGCCAGGGAAGAUAAUGACGGUACCUGGAUAAGAAGCCCCGGCAAACUUCGUGCCAGCAGCCGCGGUAAUACGAAGGGGGCUAGCGUUGUUCGGAAUUACUGGGCGUAAAGCGCACGUAGGCGGUUUUCCAAGUUGGAGGUGAAAUCCCUGGGCUCAACCCGGGAACU